rnacentral:rRNA from 1 species
AUAAUUUAAGGUUAUUUCUGCCCUAUGAAGAUUUUUAAAUGGCCGCAGUAUAUUAACUGUGCAAAGGUAGCAUAAUCAAUUGUUUUUUAAUUGAAAACUUGUAUGAAAGAAAGUAUGAGGUUUAAACUGUCUCAAAUUGAAGUUUAAAAAUUAUUUUUUAAGUAAAAAAACUUAAAUGAUAUUAUGGGACGAGAAGACCCUAUAGAAUUUUAUAUAAUUUUUAUUAUGUAUUUUUAUAUUAAUAAGUAGUAAUAAUUAUAUUUAGUUGGGAGGAGUGGUUAAAAUUAUCAUAACUUUAAUUAAAAGUAGUUCAUUUAUUAA